rnacentral:lncRNA from 1 species
AUUGCAAUAAUCCUGGGAAUUGUAUGCUUGUUUCUCCUACUGGCAAUCACAGUCUUAGGAUAUAUGUAUUCUCAGACAAAUUCUAAGUGCAAUACACAAGAUACGAAAGACACAAGAGAAAGGAAUGUUUCUGUACCAGGAGCUGAGGAUCACUCGGUUUUACCACUUGGCACAGGUAAGUACUAAAUAUUGAGUCUGUUAGCUGACAGAUUUUUUUCAUGGAAUUAUCCCC